rnacentral:rRNA from 1 species
UACGUAGGGGGCAAGCGUUGUCCGGAAUCAUUGGGCGUAAAGAGCGUGUAGGCGGCCCGGUAAGUCCGCUGUGAAAGUCCAGGGCUCAACCUCGAGACGUCGGCGGAAACCCUCUGGCUAGAGUCCGGAAGAGGAGAGUGGAAUUCCUGGUGUAGCGGUGAAAUGCGCAGAUAUCAGGAAGAACACCCGUGGCGAAGGCGGCUCUCUGGGACGGUACUGACGCUCAUGCACGAAAGCGUGGGGAGCAAACAGG